AGGAUGAACGCUGGCGGCGUGCUUAACACAUGCAAGUCGAACGAUGAAGCCGGAGCUUGCUCUGGUGGAUUAGUGGCGAACGGGUGAGUAACACGUGAGUAACCUGCCCUUGACUCUGGGAUAAGCACUGGAAACGGUGUCUAAUACCGGAUACGAGCUUUAGCCGCAUGGCCUAGGAGCUGGAAAGAAUUUCGGUACAAGGAUGGACUCGCGGCCUAUCAGGUAGUUGGUGAGGUAACGGCCCACCAAGCCUACGACGGUAGCCGGCUGAGAGGGUGACCGGCCACACGUGGGACUGAGACACGGCCCAGACUCCGUACGGGAGCAGGCAGGUCGGGAAUAGUUGACGACAAGUGGGCGACAAGGCCUGACUGCAGCCAACGUCCGCGGU
rnacentral:rRNA from 1 species